GACGAACCCUUGCGGCGUGCUUAACACAUGCAAGUCGAACGGAAAGGCCCUGCUUUUGUGGGGUGCUCGAGUGGCGAACGGGUGAGUAACACGUGAGUAACCUGCCCUUGACUUUGGGAUAACUUCAGGAAACUGGGGCUAAUACCGGAUAGGAGCUCCUGCUGCAUGGUGGGGGUUGGAAAGUUUCGGCGGUUGGGGAUGGACUCGCGGCUUAUCAGCUUGUUGGUGGGGUAGUGGCUUACCAAGGCUUUGACGGGUAGCCGGCCUGAGAGGGUGACCGGCCACAUUGGGACUGAGAUACGGCCCAGACUCCUACGGGAGGCAGCAGUGGGGAAUAUUGCACAAUGGGCGGAAGCCUGAUGCAGCAACGCCGCGUGCGGGAUGACGGCCUUCGGGUUGUAAACCGCUUUCGCCUGUGACGAAGCGUGAGUGACGGUAAUGGGUAAAGAAGCACCGGCUAACUACGUGCCAGCAGCCGCGGUGAUACGUAGGGUGCGAGCGUUGUCCGGAUUUAUUGGGCGUAAAGGGCUCGUAGGUGGUUGAUCGCGUCGGAAGUGUAAUCUUGGGGCUUAACCCUGAGCGUGCUUUCGAUACGGGUUGACUUGAGGAAGGUAGGGGAGAAUGGAAUUCCUGGUGGAGCGGUGGAAUGCGCAGAUAUCAGGAGGAACACCAGUGGCGAAGGCGGUUCUCUGGGCCUUUCCUGACGCUGAGGAGCGAAAGCGUGGGGAGCGAACAGGCUUAGAUACCCUGGUAGUCCACGCUGUAAACGGUGGGUACUAGGUGUGGGGUCCAUUCCACGGGUUCCGUGCCGUAGCUAACGCUUUAAGUACCCCGCCUGGGGAGUACGGCCGCAAGGCUAAAACUCAAAGGAAUUGACGGGGCCCCGCACAAGCGGCGGAGCAUGCGGAUUAAUUCGAUGCAACGCGUAGAACCUUACCUGGGUUUGACAUGGAUCGGGAGUGCUCAGAGAUGGGUGUGCCUCUUUUGGGGUCGGUUCACAGGUGGUGCAUGGCUGUCGUCAGCUCGUGUCGUGAGAUGUUGGGUUAAGUCCCGCAACGAGCGCAACCCUUGUUCACUGUUGCCAACACGUUAUGGUGGGGACUCAGUGGAGACCGCCGGGGUCAACUCGGAGGAAGGUGGGGAUGACGUCAGGUCAUCAUGCCCCUUAUGUCCAGGGCUUCACGCAUGCUACAAUGGCUGGUACAGAGAGUGGCGAGCCUGUGAGGGUGAGCGAAUCUCGGAAAGCCGGUCUCAGUUCGGAUUGGGGUCUGCAACUCGACCUCAUGAAGUCGGAGUCGCUAGUAAUCGCAGAUCGGCAACGCUGCGGUGAAUACGUUCCCGGG
rnacentral:rRNA from 1 species